GGUAAUACGUAGGGUGCGAGCGUUAUCCGGAAUUAUUGGGCGUAAAGAGCUCGUAGGCGGUUUGUCGCGUCUGUCGUGAAAGUCCGGGGCUUAACCCCGGAUCUGCGGUGGGUACGGGCAGACUAGAGUGCAGUAGGGGAGACUGGAAUUCCUGGUGUAGCGGUGGAAUGCGCAGAUAUCAGGAGGAACACCGAUGGCGAAGGCAGGUCUCUGGGCUGUAACUGACGCUGAGGAGCGAAAGCAUGGGGAGCGAACAGGAUUAGAUACCCUGGUAGUCCAUGCCGUAAACGUUGGGCACUAGGUGUGGGGACCAUUCCACGGUUUCCGCGCCGCAGCUAACGCAUUAAGUGCCCCGCCUGGGGAGUACGGCCGCAAGGCUAAAACUCAAAGGAAUUGACGGGGGCCCGCACAAGCGGCGGAGCAUGCGGAUUAAUUCGAUGCAACGCGAAGAACCUUACCAAGGCUUGACAUGUUCUCGAUCGCCGUAGAGAUACGGUUUCCCCUUUGGGGCGGGUUCACAGGUGGUGCAUGGUUGUCGUCAGCUCGUGUCGUGAGAUGUUGGGUUAAGUCCCGCAACGAGCGCAACCCUCGUUCCAUGUUGCCAGCACGUAAUGGUGGGGACUCAUGGGAGACUGCCGGGGUCAACUCGGAGGAAGGUGAGGACGACGUCAAAUCAUCAUGCCCCUUAUGUCUUGGGCUUCACGCAUGCUACAAUGGCCGGUACAAUGGGUUGCGAUACUGUGAGGUGGAGCUAAUCCCAAAAAGCCGGUCUCAGUUCGGAUUGGGGUCUGCAACUCGACCCCAUGAAGUCGGAGUCGCUAGUAAUCGCAGAUCAGCAACGCUGCGGUGAAUACGUUCCCGGGCCUUGUACACACCGCCCGUCAAGUCACGAAAGUCGGUAACACCCGAAGCCGGUGGCCUAACCCUU
rnacentral:rRNA from 1 species